AUUGAACGCUGGCGGCAGGCCUAACACAUGCAAGUCGAGCGAGCGGCGGACGGGUGAGCAAUGUCUGGGAAACUGCCUGAUGGAGGGGGAUAACUACUGGAAACGGUAGCUAAUACCGCAUACCAUCAGAUGUGCCCAGAUGGGAUUAGAUAGUAGGUGGGGUAACGGCUCACCUAGGCGACGAUCCCUAGCUUGUCUGAGAGGAUGACCAGAAAAGCUGGAACUGAGGCACGGUCCAGACUCCUACGGGAGGCGACAGUGGGGAGUAUUGCACAAUGAGCGCGAGCCUGAUGAAACCAAGCCGCGUGUGUGAAGAAGGCCUUCGGGUUGUAAAGCACUUUCAGCGGGGAAGCGUUACCCGGAGAAGAAGCACCGGCUAACUCCGUGCCAGCCGCCGCGGUAAUAC
rnacentral:rRNA from 1 species